GCAACAGCUCAGAUUUGGAAUCUGGCCUUCGGGCCGAGUUGUAAUCUGGAGAGGAUGCUUCUGGCGCGGUGCCUUCCGAGUUCCCUGGAACGGGACGCCGGAGAGGGUGAGAGCCCCGUACGGUUGGACACCUAGCCUCUGUGAAGCUCCUUCGACGAGUCGAGUAGUUUGGGAAUGCUGCUCAAAAUGGGAGGUAAAUUUCUUCUAAAGCUAAAUAUUGGCCAGAGACCGAUAGCGCACAA
rnacentral:rRNA from 1 species